rnacentral:rRNA from 1 species
UAGGGAAUCUUCGGCAAUGGGGGCAACCCUGACCGAGCAACGCCGCGUGAGUGAAGAAGGUUUUCGGAUCGUAAAGCUCUGUUGUAAGUCAAGAACGAGUGUGAGAGUGGAAAGUUCACACUGUGACGGUAGCUUACCAGAAAGGGACGGCUAACUACGUGCCAGCAGCCGCGGUAAUACGUAGGUCCCGAGCGUUGUCCGGAUUUAUUGGGCGUAAAGCGAGCGCAGGCGGUUUGAUAAGUCUGAAGUUAAAGGCUGUGGCUCAACCAUAGUUCGCUUUGGAAACUGUCAAACUUGAGUGCAGAAGGGGAGGGUGGAAUUCCAUGUGUAGCGGUGAAAUGCGUAGAUAUAUGGAGGAACACCGGUGGCGAAAGCGGCUCUCUGGUCUGUAACUGACGCUGAGGCUCGAAAGCGUGGGGAGCGAACAGGAUUAGAUACCUUGGUAGUCCACGCCGUAAACGAUGAGUGCUAGGUGUUGGAUCCUUUCCGGGAUUCAGUGCCGCAGCUAACGCAUUAAGCACUCCGCCUGGGGAGUACGGCCGCAAGGUUG